rnacentral:rRNA from 1 species
AUUGAACGCUGGCGGCAUGCCUUACACAUGCAAGUCGAACGGUAACAGGUCUUCGGAUGCUGACGAGUGGCGAACGGGUGAGUAAUACAUCGGAACGUGCCCGAUCGUGGGGGAUAACGGAGCGAAAGCUUUGCUAAUACCGCAUACGAUCUACGGAUGAAAGCAGGGGACCGCAAGGCCUUGCGCGGACGGAGCGGCCGAUGGCAGAUUAGGGAGUUGGUGGGAUAAAAGCUUACCAAGCCGACGAUCUGUAGCUGGUCUGAGAGGACGACCAGCCACACUGGGACUGAGACACGGCCCAGACUCCUACGGGAGGCAGCAGUGGGGAAUUUUGGACAAUGGGCGCAAGCCUGAUCCAGCCAUGCCGCGUGCAGGAUGAAGGCCUUCGGGUUGUAAACUGCUUUUGUACGGAACGAAAAGACUCUUUCUAAUAAAGAGGGUCCAUGACGGUACCGUAAGAAUAAGCACCGGCUAACUACGUGCCAGCAGCCGCCGUAA